CCGGCGCACGGGUGAGUAACGCGUAUCCAACCUGCCUCUGACUGAGGGAUAACCCGUCGAAAGUCGGCCUAAUACCUCAUGGCAUCGUCUGCGGGCAUCCAACGACGAUUAAAGAUUUCAUCGGUCAGGGAUGGGGAUGCGUCUGAUUAGCUUGUUGGCGGGGUAGCGGCCCACCAAGGCUACGAUCAGUAGGGGUUCUGAGAGGAAGGUCCCCCACAUUGGAACUGAGACACGGUCCAAACUCCUACGGGAGGCAGCAGUA
rnacentral:rRNA from 1 species